rnacentral:lncRNA from 10 species
GGCAUGAUUGUGUUUUGAAAUACAGGACAUGAGAUUUGUGAGGGGCCAGGUGUGGAAUGAUAUUGUUUGGUUGUGUCCCCAUGCAAAUCUCAUCUUGAAUUGUAAUCCCCUUAAUCCACAGGUGUCAAGGGAAGAACCUUUAGGUUGGAUCCCUUUAGGAUGGAUCACCUUUAGGAUGGAUCAUGGGGGCGGUUUCUCCUUUGCUGUUCUUGUGAUGAAUUGGUAUGGUGAAUCAAGGGCUGGAAAUGACUUCUGUUUGGGAGGUACCCUGCAUUGGACAGCCAAGUAGAAAUCUGAACAGGAUUUAGAGAAAAGGAAGGUUAGAUCAGCUGCUCAUGCUAGUUUCUGGACUCUCCUUUAAAAGGAGCCAGGGUUACUUGGUGCACACCAUAACUCCAGUUAUGCUCACCAGCUUGAUUGGGGCAAAGCUCUAACUAGAAAAGAAGAAACUGUGCAAGCUUGAAGCGUGCCUUGUACCUCUGAUCCUCAGGCCCUCAUGGUGGUGCCAGGCAACUGG